rnacentral:rRNA from 1 species
UACGUAGGGGGCAAGCGUUGUCCGGAAUCAUUGGGCGUAAAGAGCGUGUAGGCGGCUCGAUAAGUCUGCUGUGAAAGUCCAGGGCUCAACCCUGGAAGGCCGGUGGAAACUGUCGGGCUAGAGUCCGGAAGAGGCGAGUGGAACUCCCUGGUGUAGCGGUGGAAUGCGCAGAUAUCAGGAAGAACACCAACGGCGAAGGCAGCUCGCUGGGACGGUACUGACGCUGAGACGCGAAAGCGUGGGGAGCGAACAGG